GGGCCCGCACAAGCGGUGGAGCAUGUGGUUUAAUUCGAUGCAACGCGAAGAACCUUACCUACUCUUGACAUCCAGAGAACUUAGCAGAGAUGCUUUGGUGCCUUCGGGAACUCUGAGACAGGUGCUGCAUGGCUGUCGUCAGCUCGUGUUGUGAAAUGUUGGGUUAAGUCCCGCAACGAGCGCAACCCUUAUCCUUUGUUGCCAGCGGUCCGGCCGGGAACUCAAAGGAGACUGCCAGUGAUAAACUGGAGGAAGGUGGGGAUGACGUCAAGUCAUCAUGGCCCUUACGAGUAGGGCUACACACGUGCUACAAUGGCAUAUACAAAGAGAAGCGACCUCGCGAGAGCAAGCGGACCUCAUAAAGUAUGUCGUAGUCCGGAUUGGAGUCUGCAACUCGACUCCAUGAAGUCGGAAUCGCUAGUAAUCGUGGAUCAGAAUGCCACGGUGAAUACGUUCCCGGGCCUU
rnacentral:rRNA from 1 species